rnacentral:ncRNA from 2 species
GAACUGUGGGUAUGAGUCAGUUCAAAGCAAUGAAGCGGAAAUACGUGAAGAAUAGUGAAUCCGGUCAGAAUCCGGAACGGUACCGCCACUGUAUGCAUGGAGGCGCUGCAUGAGACGAAAGUCAGUCAUUGGGAACAAUCCUGAGAAGGCAAUGCAGAGACGCUGUUGAUAUGUAAGUCAGGAGACCUGCUUAAAUGGAAAUGCUUAU